ACGGAGGGUGCAAGCGUUAUUCGGAAUUACUGGGCGUAAAGGGCGUGCAGGCGGGAGAGCAAGUCUGAUGUGAAAGCCCGGGGCUUAAACCCGGAAGGGCAUUGGAAACUGCUUUUCUUGAGUUCUGGAGAGGAAGGGAGAAUUCCUGGUGUAGAGGAGAAAGUCGUAGGGAUCGGGAAGAGCAUCAGUGGGGCAGGAGGGAUAAUGACGAGCAACGGACGCGGCGACGAGAUCGCGUGGGGAGCAAGCAA
rnacentral:rRNA from 1 species